UGCCCUGAUGUGGGGGAUAACCAUUGGAAACGAUGGCUAAUACCGCAUAAUAGCUUCGGCUCAAAGAGGGGGACCUUCGGGCCUCUCGCGUCAGGAUAUGCCCAGGUGGGAUUAGCUAGUUGGUGAGGUAAGGGCUCACCAAGGCGACGAUCCCUAGCUGGUCUGAGAGGAUGAUCAGCCACACUGGAACUGAGACACGGUCCAGACUCCUACGGGAGGCAGCAGUGGGGAAUAUUGCACAAUGGGCGCAAGCCUGAUGCAGCCAUGCCGCGUGUAUGAAGAAGGCCUUCGGGUUGUAAAGUACUUUCAGCAGUGAGGAAGGUGGUGUACUUAAUACGUACAUCAUUUGACGUUAGCUGCAGAAGAAGCACCGGCUAACUCCGUGCCAGCAGCCGCGGUAAUACGGA
rnacentral:rRNA from 1 species